UUUCCGUAGGUGAACCUGCGGAAGGAUCAUUAAUGAGUUGUCAUGGGGUUCGACGCUGGCAGCCAAUUUUUGGAUGCAUGUGCUUGCCCUAACAAUCAUCUUCCAAACACCUGUGCACAUUUUUGAGGGAGUCUUGAGUUGGUUGCCGCUCUUGGGUGAUUUUCUCACAUUCCCUUAAAUCAUUAUACGCUAUUAACAAUGUUGAACGUGCUCUGUGCCGCAAGGCUAUUAAUAUAAUACAACUUUUAACAACGGAUCUCUUGGCUCUC
rnacentral:misc_RNA from 1 species